AAAUUGAAGAGUUUGAUCAUGGCUCAGAUUGAACGCUGGCGGCAGGCCUAACACAUGCAAGUCGAACGGUAACAGGAAGAAGCUUGCUUCUUUGCUGACGAGUGGCGGACGGGUGAGUAAUGUCUGGGAAACUGCCUGAUGGAGGGGGAUAACUACUGGAAACGGUAGCUAAUACCGCAUAACGUCGCAAGACCAAAGAGGGGGACCUUCGGGCCUCUUGCCAUCGGAUGUGCCCAGAUGGGAUUAGCUAGUAGGUGGGGUAACGGCUCACCUAGGCGACGAUCCCUAGCUGGUCUGAGAGGAUGACCAGCCACACUGGAACUGAGACACGGUCCAGAC
rnacentral:rRNA from 1 species